rnacentral:rRNA from 1 species
AGAGUUUGAUCCUGGCUCAGAGCGAACGUUAGCGGCACGCCUAACACAUGCAAGUCGAGCGCGAAAGGUAGCAAUACCCUGAAAGCGGCGCACGGGUGCGUAACACGUAGAUAAUCUGCCCUUCGUUGGGGGAUAACGUUCCGAAAGGAGCGCUAAUACCGCAUACAGCAUUUUGGGGUUUGCCCCGAGAUGGCAAAGGCUGGGACCGCAAGGCCAGUCGACGAAGGAGGAGUCUGCGGCCCAUCAGCUAGUUGGUGAGGUAAUGGCUCACCAAGGCAAAGACGGGUAGCUGGUCUGAGAGGAUGAUCAGCCACACUGGUACUGGAACACGGACCAGACUCCUACGGGAGGCAGCAGUGGGGAAUCUUGGUCAAUGGGCGCAAGCCUGAACCAGCGAUGCCGCGUGAGUGAUGAAGGCCUUCGGGUUGUAAAGCUCUGUGGGGCGGGACGAAAAACUCAGUUUUAAUAGAGCUGAGCUUGACGGUACCGCCUUAGCAAGCACCGGCUAACUCUGUGCCAGCAGCCGCGGUAAGACAGAGGGUGCAAACGUUGCUCGGAAUCACUGGGCGUAAAGGGCGUGUAGGCGGGAAGGAAAGUCAGAUGUGAAAGCCUUGGGCUCAACCCAGGAGCUGCAUUUGAAACUCCCUUUCUUGAGUGUCGGAGAGGAAAGCGGAAUUCCUGGUGUAGAGGUGAAAUUCGUAGAUAUCAGGAGGAACACCGGUGGCGAAGGCGGCUUUCUGGACGACAACUGACGCUGAGACGCGAAAGCGUGGGGAGCAAACAGGAUUAGAUACCCUGGUAGUCCACGCUGUAAACGAUGAACACUAGGUGUCGUGGGUAUUGACCCCCGCGGUGCCGCAGCUAACGCAUUAAGUGUUCCGCCUGGGAAGUACGGUCGCAAGACUAAAACUCAAAUGAAUUGACGG